UGAAGAAGAUGAUGGGAAAUUCUUUUCAGGUUCCCUUCUGUCUUUUUGUAUUUGUUGUUGUUUCGUAUUUGUAUGCUUUUCUGACUCACCGUGACGUGCGUUUGCUGUAUGAUUAGGUGUCACUCUUCACCAGUUCGUUCUUUCAUUGGCAGCGCUCCACCGCUGAAGAUGACGCAGUCAUCUGCGCUCCCUCUGAUGUCGAUGGAGAUCUGGGGUGGACGAGGAGCCCGCAAUGGCUCCCCGGAGCUUUCACGGAGGCCCCCCAUAUUGGAGCCAUUUCCUGUCUCAGGAGUGGGCAAAAGGCUUGACCCCUGGCGCCCCCUUCCUAUGACUCAACAGGAAGUUUUGCACAAUGGGAUCCCUCCGCAGGUCCUGCGUGCUGCCGCUGAGCAAGCCGACGUACAUGUAACGCCGACGUGUGUUUAAUGUUUGCAGGUGCACAGACAUGCGUGUGUGCAGACACAAUAGUGGAAAGUGAAGCCAUCAACGCGACAAGUCAAGUAACAGCUGGACUUGUUAGUGUGACGCUAGCUCAUUUGAACUUUUUACUGAUGCUCGUUUUAUUAUGCUUCCUUGCAGAGUGAGUCGGUAGUUGUUAGGAAAUAAUUUCUUUCCAAAAGUGUUUAUUAGGGGCUUUAUUUUUGAAGUAUAUAUUUUUGGAAUAACAAACUACUAGUUCCUGGUCUAUUACAAUUUAUGUAACAGUAACUUAUUUACGAAAUGGCUGAUGGUGGAAGGUUUUUAGUAGGGUAAAGGCCUUUAUUUUUACAAGCACAUUUUAAAAAUAAAAUUGAACAAUAUUAUCUGUAUGUUAAAUUUUGGGGGGAAUUGUAGCUGAAGAGUUUAGGAAUAAUAUCAAACAAUAUUACCGGUAUAUUCCAAUUAAUGUCAAAUCAAAUCAGAAUAGUGGCCGGGAACCUUUAUUAACUCAACUACAGAUUGGAAAGGGCAUUUAUUGGGGAUAAGGCCUUUAUUUGAAUAAAUGCUUUAUUAUUAUUAGAUUUUUAAAUAUUAUUUGUGUAUUACAAUUUGACAAGUGAAAAUGUAAUAGCGGCCGGGAACAUUUGUUUACUCAGCUGCAGAUGGGGGCAGGUAUCGAUUAAGGGCGAGGCCUUUAUUUUUACUAAUUAAUUUUUAGAAUAAUAUUGACAAUAUUAUCCGUGUAUUACAAUUUGUGUUAAGUGAAACUGGAAUAACAGCCUCGGGUACUCAUUUGCUCAUCUGCAGAUGGGUUUAUUAGGGUUUAGGGCUUUAUUUGUGUAACAUGUUUUUGAAUAAUAUAACAAUGAGAAAAUAUGUUUUAAUUUAUGUCACGUGAAACUGGCGUUUAAAUCACUGAGAACUUGAGAAGUCGGUAAGACUGUUUACGUGCCUCGGUAGGUGCUGCUGUUUGGGUUAGCAGCAGAGUUCAGAUGUGCAAAUCAGAAGUUAUUGCUUUUAAGACUGUUUGUGAACACUAGCGUUUACGAACUGAGGUCAUUGUACUUACUACCCAGUUCUUCUUCCUAAUGGGGAGAAAAGGGGUCGCCCAUGUGAGGGAAGCGUUUAUUUGUGGAAAUGCUUUAAUCCUGAGCAGAUGAGUAGUUCGUGUGCACUGAGGGAUGUUCAGACCCCUCAAACAUGUGAUUCGAUAGGUGGAGAAGUUAAAGUGAACUCGAUGAGGCGAACGUGUAGACCUUUUUGAUCUCGGUCACCAUCUGGUUACCGAAGGGGAGCGCUCGAGGGCUCAAACACAGACACACACACACACACACACAUGCGCGAACGCACACACGCAGCCUCAUGAGCCGCCAGUCAUGUGGUCAUGUGAACCCCCCUCAUUCGGUGCCUCCUUGAUUUAACAUACACCCCUUGAGACCUGUCAAAGUGAGCCAAACUCAACCUGUUCAACAUUAGGUUGUGAUGCCCAUAGUAAUGUCUACUUGUAUUAACUUUAGCCUUGUCAUUGGCGUGAUGGCAGUGGUUCAAUCCACAUAUUUUCAAUGAACUGCUUAAUAAUGGAGUUAAUAAUGAGAUGUCAAUGAUUCUUUGGGGGGAAUUUAGCUAAUUUCGGAAACUUUUGGAUAAUUUAUCAGGCCCUAUAUGAAACAGCUCUUGCUUGGCCCGAUGACAGUGGUCUGGUCAUUUUGACCCACAUUAUUGCUAUUCCCGAAUGUAACAGGAGGUUUAAAAUGUCAACUGGCAUAUGUUUUGUCGACAAAGGCACGUUAUGGUUACACUAUUCUUUAGUGCAAAUGGUCUUUAACCUCACUUUAUAAAUCAUGCUGCAUUGUUAAUAAAACAACUUGAUAAAAAGAGAUUUGAGGGCUCGGAAGUCGGCUUUUAAGGUGAGCCACUGCGUGCGUGCCUCUCUACACAAAGCGUCUUGUGUAGAGAAAAAAACAAAAAGAAAGCCGUUUAUGCGCCAGAUGUCGCGGCGUGAGACAUUGGGGAAUAUGAUCCCUUGUCGGACUGAUGGUGGCUUGACACGCCAAGAAUGUGUUGUCAUGUGUGCUUCGCCGAGACAACUGUGUUUGCACCCACAUGGCUCUCACCAUUCAUGGUGAUAUACAAAACGCGUAUGUGUGUGUGUUGUGUGCGUGUAUGUGUGUGUAAGGACUUUAGAGCAAACAAUAUUAAACAACGUUGCUGGCAUGUUACAAUUAAUGCCUAGGCAAACUGGAGUAAUGUCUGUUGCCGUUUAUUUACUCAACGACAGAUGAGCAGAGGAGUCAAUUUAGGGCAAGGCCUUUAUUUUUUCCGAAUGUGUUUUUGGAAUGCAUUUUCUGUACGUUUCAAUUUAUGUCAAAUAUAACCGGAAUCAUCUGCAGAUAGGAGUGGGUGGCUUAUUGGGGGUGUGGCCUUUUUUUCUACAAACACAUUUUUAACAAAUGUUUAUGUACAGUUCAUGUAUGUUACAAUUGAGGUCACGUGAAAUUGGAAUAGUUGUUGUAGGUGUUUUAACUCAAGUGCAGAUGGGGGAAGGCGUCUAUUAGGAACGGUGCCUUUAUUUUUACAAAUGAAUUUUUGAAAUAAUAUUAGACGAGGUUACUGGUAUUUUGCAUUUUCGGUCAAAUGUAACUGGAGU